rnacentral:rRNA from 1 species
UACGAAGGGGGCUAGCGUUGCUCGGAAUCACUGGGCGUAAAGCGCACGUAGGCGGAUUGUUAAGUCAGGGGUGAAAUCCUGGAGCUCAACUCCAGAACUGCCUUUGAUACUGAGAAGCUUGAGUCCGGGAGAGGUGAGUGGAACUGCGAGUGUAGAGGUGAAAUUCGUAGAUAUUCGCAAGAACACCAGUGGCGAAGGCGGACUCACUGGCCCGGUC